rnacentral:rRNA from 1 species
UACGUAGGGCGCAAGCGUUGUCCGGAAUUAUUGGGCGUAAAGAGCUCGUAGGCGGCUUGUCACGUCGAUUGUGAAAGCCCGAGGCUUAACCUCGGGUCUGCAGUCGAUACGGGCUAGCUAGAGUGUGGUAGGGGAGAUCGGAAUUCCUGGUGUAGCGGUGAAAUGCGCAGAUAUCAGGAGGAACACCGGUGGCGAAGGCGGGUCUCUGGGCCAUUACUGACGCUGAGGAGCGAAAGCGUGGGGAGCGAACAGG